CAAAAAUAAAUAAACAUUGAAAAAUUAAAAAAAAAAUAAAGAACAGAUUUCAGUCUCAAGAGCAAUGCCUUUUGCCAUCAGUUAUAACAUAAAAGAACAGAUUUAUGACUGGCACACACUAAGCUUUUGCUUAGAAAUGCGAGCCUGUUUGGAUAUCUCAGGUUUCCAUAAAGCUGACAAAUCAAAAAAUGAGUUUGCUGUGGGAAAUAAGGUAUUCUGUGCAUAAAUAUUUAAAGGCAAGAUGUGAAUAAUAUCCUAGAAUUUCAAAAAUGGUUAAAAUAAUGAUGGCAAAUCUUCAACUGCUGUGAAAACAAACAAGAUACAGCUUGCUGACCAGGAAAUGCACAAUCCUCAAGUGCCAUGCUAUUCAAGAAUACUGCCCUAUUACAGGGUUUCACUUUUACUCACCUAAAAUGAACUGGUAACAAAGAAUCAUAGAAUGAUAAAGCUAGAAGAUACCUUAAACUUCCUCUGAUGUGACAUCCUGGUGAGAAACCUGAGAUCCAGAGGGUCCCCAAAAGUUCAUUUGUAAGUUGCUUAUUUGGAAGUUGGAGCAGAUAUUCCCAUAGAAAUAACAUGAUAAGUAAUGGUUAGAACCCAAAUCUGUCCUUCCCCCUCUUUUUAUACAGUACUGUGUAUACCUGAACAGUAUUACCUUCUAGUGUUGUUCACUGCAUGUGUUUUGAAUCUACAUUGUAGGUUAAUAUUAGCAGUAUGGUUCAGUUAGUAGAGUGUGCAACUCUUGACCUCAGGGUUGUAAGUUCAAGAUCCACAUUGGAUGUAGAGAUUACUUAAAAAUAAAAUCUUAAAAAAAAAAAAAAGAAGAAGAAGAAAAAGAAGGAAGACACAGCCCCUAGACAUGAACCUUAAUAUGCUUAGGUAAAUGAUACCUCCACCCCUCUGUGAAGAGCUAGAAUGUUUUUGGUUCUAAGACACAGACAUCUUCUCUAAAUGCAUUGAACAGUGAGGAUACUCAUGUGUUCGUGUAACUGGAAGUUCAGAGUGGGGCAAGCUUCAGAGUCAUUUUAACCCAGGAGCUCCUGCUCCAUUUUUCCGCCACUUCCUUAUAUGUGCUUGCCCCCUUUGUUGACUUCAUCUUUAGGUCAUUCUUGUCCGAUGGGAAAAGGACUGCAAUGGUUCCUGUACUUCCUGGAACAAGGAGAGAGAGAGAGAGAGAGAGAGAGAGCACCCCAGCCAUAGGAUCUCAAGCAGGAAUCCUGAGAUUCACCUUGAUGGGACCUGUAGGUCAGAUACCCUCACCUAAACCACUGCCCUUAACUUGGAAGUGGAAUGGGCUGAUUGGAGUAAGCCAAGAUCGUCUUGCCUCAAAGUGCGUGGGUGAUGGUGUCAACUAAAAUGAAAAUGUGGGUCUGUUGAGAUAGGGAUAGAGGAGAAAUGGGCAGAAUACCAACAAUAUCCACUAAACCAUCUUUCCCUUUGCCCCCAGCCCCAGCCACCCAAGGAAGGUAUUAUGGAGCUAAGAAAGCUAGAUGAACAAAGGCAGGCAUACACGUGUGGGGAUCAGAGGAUGGAAAUGGAUGUUUUUACUUCUGCUCACUUCACCCUAAAGUACAAUCGACUUCCAUCCUUUAGGAUCCCCGAACCACAGAUCCCCACUCUCUUUUCCAAAUCCUGGCUACUUAAACCUUCACUCCAGCUUAGAACCUUUGGAUCAACCACUGCCACUAGAAAGGAAAAUGUCAAUAGAAAAACAUAUCUUUUCUUGCAUCAUUUAAAAGUGGUCACGCGUCUUUCACCUUCCAUUCCCAUUCCACUUCCUUGUUGAAGGGAAACAUAAGGGCCCCAGAAAUAUGACUUAUUCUUUGUCUCCUGAAAAAAUAGCUUUGGCAUCCAUUGGCUUCCCAGCAUGCUUUGGGACAAAACUAUAUUGGCUUUUAGUUCACUUUUGAUGGUCUGUCUUUAGUCAAUCAUGCACUAAGAUUACAAGGUUAACCAUGAGAGACUGUCUAAAGAAAUGUACAAAGAAAGGGGGGUCAACACUGCUUUCCCAACUACCCUCACAUUAAUAAAAGCACAUUACCCCAACUCUCUACAGAGUAUCCUCUUUUUGACUAAUGGCGGUUACAGUGUUUAUUCAUGAGCCAUCGAGCUGUAAAAUGUAAUAAAUAGGCUUGUGAUGGAAAAAGAAGCUGGAAUGGGAUUCAGGGCAAUCAGUGAAAACACAAAAUAAAAUAAAGGGUCAAUCACUCAGGCUUCUCAGUAAAAUUGUCCCACAUAAAGAUUGAUUUCAGUCUCACUCCCACUGUAUUCUAAAAAUCCCACUUUCUAAAAUGGUGGUUUCCCACCACACAACUGGCUCAGAGCCCAGAGCUCAAUCUCUAGAGCUUUCCACAGAGUUCCAAGUAUUGCAGCCUUUGCUUGACUGGACACCUGGAAGUAGAAUUGUCCUACCAAGGGUUAAAUUUUAAAUAGUUAAGCUCUUCUUUUGCAAUAAUAAUACUUUACAUGUUUGUAAUGGCUCACAGUCGUUUUGAAUGCUGACUUAAUAAAGAGAUGUGUAUGUCCGAUAUUUAGGAACUGAAGGAUACCUUUAGGAACUGAGCAAAGUUUCCAGUCUGACACCUGAUCUACCAGUCUUGGAGGUGGAAUCAGCAGAUGCAGAAAAAAACAAGGGCCAGAAUAGAAUUUUUGUUUAUGAUAGUGGCAAAUUGUUUUUGGAAAUUUUUGUCAUAUAUUAUUUUUGAAAAUGAAGUUUUUGUUUCAGAGUGAAGCAAAUCUGUUCCUCAGAAACAAAUGCUAAUAUUUUUUCAUUUUUAUUCAUUUUUUAAAUGUUUAUUUAUUUAUUUAUUUAUUUAUUUAUUUAGAGAGAGCAUGUGUGUGCGUACAGGUGUGCAAGCAAGAAAGGGACAGAGAGAGAGAGAGAGAGAGAGAAUCCCAAGGAGGCUCCAUCCGCACUGUCCACGAAGAACCCGACUCGGGGCUUAAACCUGCAAAUCGUGAGAUUAUGACCUGAGCUGAAAUCAAGAAGCACAAGCUGAACCCACUGAAAGAUGCGCCAUCGAGAAGAACAAAUAAGUCCCUAGUUCCCACCUCUUCUGAUUCUCCAGCCGUCCAUCCCUGGAGAUUCUUUCUCAGCCAGGAUGCAAUCUUCAUCACCGGGAGAAUUUGACCCUCUUCUUUGAAACACUUCAGGGAGGAAGUGAGAUGCCUCCAGAGGCAGAUGUAUGAAGGAGCAGACCAGCAACCAGGGCUGUGACUCACCGCUUCCACAGGAACCACACCUGGGCAACAUUCAGCCCAGUCGCCACUCACCCUAAAGGCCUUCUUCACCAUGUGAAGGGGUUAGCAGGCCUGUGUCAGAUCUGCCUACCACCAUAAGAUGCGCCACUGCAAGAGCUCCAUUGCCUGAAAAUGGAAGGAAUGAGAAAAGCCUGGUAUGGAAAGCCAGGAGGAGCCAGCCCUGCCAAGGGAUGAAGAUGUUGUUUGUACCAGGAUGGGUCCCAGCAGCACCAUCUGUUGGUGAGCUCACUUCAUUGAGAACAUCUCACAUGAGAUUAGUCAGGUGUUGUUAAGAAAGAAGGAGAGAAAGAAAGACAGACAGA